GCAUAUCAAUAAGCGGAGGAAAAGAAACCAACAGGGAUUGCCUCAGUAGCGGCGAGUGAAGCGGCAAAAGCUCAAAUUUGAAAUCUGGCGUCUUUGGCGUCCGAGUUGUAAUUUGAAGAAGGUAUCUUUGGGCCCGGCUCUUGUCUAUGUUCCUUGGAACAGGACGUCACAGAGGGUGAGAAUCCCGUGCGAUGAGAUGACCCGGGUCUGUGUAAAGUUCCUUCGACGAGUCGAGUUGUUUGGGAAUGCAGCUCUAAGUGGGUGGUAAAUUCCAUCUAAAGCUAAAUAUUGGCGAGAGACCGAUAGCGAACAAGUACAGUGAUGGAAAGAUGAAAAGAACUUUGAAAAGAGAGUGAAAAAGUACGUGAAAUUGUUGAAAGGGAAGGGCUUGAGAUCAGACUUGGUAUUUUGCAUGCUGCUCUCUCGGGGGCGGCCGCUGCGGUUUACCGGGCCAGCAUCGGUUUGGAGCGGCAGGAUAAUGGCGGAGGAAUGUGGCACGGCUUCUGCUGUGUGUUAUAGCCUCUGACGAUACUGCCAGCCUAGACCGAGGACUGCGGUU
rnacentral:rRNA from 1 species